UUGAACUUGACACUAGGAAGGGAAUGAUAUUAAGAGCACAGGAAGGGGAGGCACAUAUGAAGAGGCAAAUGUUACAAAGAAGAUAUCCAUUUGAGCAAUUGCCGACACUUGCUCGUUGAGCAGCCUCUCAUUCAGGUCCUCGACAUGUCUCUUUAGAUCAGCAUUUUCCAAAAGGGCAAUCUCCGUGCCUUGUGAAUUUUCCAAAAUAACCCUAUGCCUUCGCACUACACCCCCGCGUUCGUAUAGACCAAACACCUGCCAAGGACCCCAGGCCCAACUACCCUACGCGAUCGCACCAGCCUUGUGCGAAAGCACUGCUCAACGUUCUCAGAACUAUCCAAUAGCAUGGACCCUAAUGCGACCUUAUAGCACAAAAUAGGGCUCCUCUCCCAUCCUUCUAUGCGAUAACAAUGCCACCUAUGCGAUCGCAUAGAGCAAUUCCUCUGCAACAUUUCUGCUGCAUUUCUGCAACUCCCAAAAGCCAAAUACCUUCCGUUUAACCACUCGAAACCACCCCAAGGCCCUCGGAACCUCAACCAAAAGUAUCAACCCAUCCUAAAACAUCACACAAACAUGUUCAAAUCAUAAAACACAUCCAACAACACAAGAAUCAUCAAUUUACGACGGAUUCAAGUCUAAGUUAAACUAAAACUUCCGAAACUCGCAUUUGAUCAAAAACCCGAUCAAACGAUGUCCAAAUGACAUGAAAUUUUACACACAUAUCAAAAAUCAUCUAACAAAGCUGUUGCAGCUUUCGGAAUUCCAUUCCGACUCUCGAAUCAAAAUUCCGCCUAUCAACCGGAAUUUCCCAAAAUUCAAAUUUAGCCAAUUCAAGCUUAAUUCUACACCGAGCCUCCAAAAUUACUUCUGAUUGCUCUCCUACGCCUGAAAUCAUCCCCCGGAGCUAACCGAAUCAUCAGAAAUACAUUCCGAGCCGUCUAACUCAUAAGUCAAUAUUCGGUUGACUUUUCCAAACUAACCUUCUCAUAAAGAGACUAAUUGUCUCAUUUCUAACCAGACUCAAUCCGAAUUAUUUCAAAUUCUCCAAACACAUAUAAUGAAACAUAUAGAAGCAUAAAAAGAGAAAACGAGGUGGUAACUCACGUGAUGAUGGGCCAGGUCGUCACAAUGUUGUUUAUGUACUCAUGCUACACUUCUGUACUUAAAUGUAUAGGAUUUGAGGCAGCUGGAUCUGGACAUCAUUCUGGUGCGUAUCAGUGAGCGCACCUGGGACUUCUACGGUGAGCUGGUUCUCUUUCAUGCCGAUCCACAGCCGAAGAAGUCUUUCUCUGUACUUUUGUUUCUAUCUAUCCUGAUUCAGACAGCACGAUAGUAUAUUAUUCUUUUGUGUAUAUUCUACUAGUUGCCCGUAGCUUGUGACACCGGGUUUUGACACGCGCACGUUAGUAGACAUUUAUUUUUGUGUUAUAUAACUAUUUUGAUAUAUUAUUUACUUCUCUUGGCCUUAACUUUUACUUUGAAAAUAUGUUAUACUUAGUUUUGGUAAAAAGUAAAAUGAGAACUUAACUAUACUUCUGCUUGUUGGUUAGCCUGACAAUGGUGUCGGUCGCCAUCAUGACAUACUAUGGAAAAUGAAUCGUGACAAAUAUAACGAAUCAAUGACUGAAAAACCACGUGAAAUUGCUAUAGUUUGGAACUUCAAUUAGAAAUUUUUGACCGAAAAUUUAUGUGAUGUGAAAAUUAAUUACCUUUAAAAAGCUCAAUGCCUGCAUGCAGCAAUUGCUGAAAACCUAUUAUGAGAAAAUUCAAUGUGGCGUAAAAUCAUGUGGAAUUGGUAUAGUUUGUAACUUCAAGAAUAUGCAGGACAACUUGAUUGGAGUUAGGAUUUCAUAAAUUAAUCCAUAUUAGGAAAAUAUUACUCGUAUAAUUCUAUUAAGCACAAAUUUUAUAUUCUAAAGAAAAAAUCUAUCUUUUGAAGGGAUCUACAUUCACUGAGGUACCCGAUGGCAGUACAAACAAACAAUUUAAGACAAAUAUAUCAUAAUUAAAACAUGAUGUAACCGAAAGUGAUGCUAAUAAAGAAGUACACGAAAUCAUACCAGUCACAAACUCCACCAUUACUGAUCAAAGUUAACAUUUUC
rnacentral:lncRNA from 1 species